GGAAAAGUUGAGUCAGCAGAAGAUUCUUUUAAGAAAAAGAAUUACAUAUAAUAAUUAAAAAUACAAAAUCUUGAUUUGAAAACAAAAUCUUCAUGAUGUUUUAUCUUGUCCUUUUUUUUUUUUGGCCAAGCCACACGGCAUGCAGGAUCUUAGUUGCCCGACCAGGGAUCGAACCUGUGCCCCCUGCAGUGCAAGCACGGAGUCCUAACCACUGGACCACCAGGGAAGUCCCCAAAUCUUGAUUCUUGAUAAAUUGUCUAUGUGGGAUUUCAGCCAGUGAAUACAUACUCUCCUAGCCUCUUUACUCAUAAUUAUUUUUUAUAAUAUACAGAUGGAAAGAGAAGUAACUGUACUAAUAGGGAUCACCUCUGGAGACUGUGGCAAAAGGGAUUUGCACGUAGGGUUUCAGAAACCUAACUCUUUUUUUUUAAACUAAUUUUUAUUGGAGUAUAGUUGCUUUACAAUGUUGUGUUAGUUUCUGCUGUACAGCAAAGUGAAUCAGUUAUACAUUAUCAGAAACCUAACUCAUUCUGCAGAAUCGCUCCUUUACUAGAUAUGUUCAAUGUAUGUUCAAAUUUAAACAUGAGAUAAAGAGAAGAAAAGUAGCUUCUUCGGGUUGCAGGAAACAAUUUGUAAUAGUGGACAAAUUCAUGGCAUUAAUGAAAUUUAACUGCUUUUCUAAUCAUAAAUGUCAGUAGAUAAAAAGCAAGUAUUUCAAGAUAAUUCACCUAAUUGGAUGGCCUGUGUUCAAUCAGGAUAUUAAGAAUACAUUUUCACAUAUAGGACAACCAGCCUUCAGCUAAUUUAAAUUAGAAGAAAAGGUCUAUUGCUGCCCUAGGCAAGCAGUGUGCCCUGAAUUUAGAUACAGUAUCAAUCCCAGCAGGGCAUUAGAGCUGAGAACACUGAAAACAAGGUAUAAAUUGGAUAUUCGCUAUUAAAUUAAGUCUAGACAACCUGCACAUUCAUUCUUGUGUCUUUACUAUCACUUCACUAUUUUACUGCAAAAGUCCAUCUGAGACAUAAUCCAAGGAGCAAAAACUCCUAUAGCUGGGGUGGGGAGUGGGAAGUUGAGGAAGGUGGAGAGGGAGGUGUUGGUGGAUUCUCUUAAGUGUCCCUCAACUCCAGUUUGUGGAGGAAAGAGUGCUUUAGAAAUUCCAAGUAGAUAUUCAUGUUCAUGAGCCUAAGUGUGCCUCUUAUUAUUAAUUAUCAAGUUCUUACACGCACCAAACUCUGAGCUAAGUGCUAGUAAUUCAACAGUGAAUAAGACAAACAAGGUACAGGAUGGAGAAACAAUAAACAGAACACUUUCAUGAAGCGAUUAGUGCUGUGAUGGAAAGAAACAGGGUAAUAUGGUAGUAUCACUAAGAGGUUGAAAAGAAGCAUACUUCAGAUAGGAAAUUUAUACAGAUUCAGGGAGUCUUGGAUGUCUAAUCAAAAGCACAAAUAUUCAGCCAUCUAUUUUCCCCUCUUCAACUCCUAUCCUAUGAUACUAUGGCAGCAAGCUUAAAAAAUAGGUUCUUAUUGGGACUUCCCUGGUGGUGCAGUGGUUAAAGAAUCUGCCUGCCAAUGCAGGGGACAUGGGUUCGAGCCCUGGUCCGGGAAGAUCCCACAUGCUGCAGAGCAACUAAGCCCAUGCGCCACAGUUACUGAGCCUGCACUCUAGAGCCCACGAGCCACAACUACUGAGCCCGAGUGCCACAACUACUGAAGUUGUGGCGUGCCUAGUUGUGAAGCCCGCGUGCCUACAGCCGGCGCUUAGCAAUGAGAGAAGCCACCGCAAUGAGAAGCCCGCACUCCCUGCAACUAAAAAGAAAGCCCGGGUGCAGCAACAAAGACCCAACGCAGCCAACGUAUAAAUAAAUUAAUUAAUUUAAAAAAAUAGGUUCUUAUUUCCAGCAAAGGAAAAGGCAAAGCAUCAGUUACCGAUAAUCAAAAUUCAACUCUGAAUUUAAAUAACAUUCAUGCCAGACACUUUAUUACUUCAUAAUUGGGGAGCUGGACAAGCUGGUAUUAUUAAUACCAUUGCCAUAAAGGGACUAGAUUGGAGGUACAAAGAGAGACACAAUAAGAUCUUUGUCCACAAAGGUUUUAUAGCGAACAGCAAAACACACACACACACACACACACACACACACACAAAUAAUCAACAAGCGAGAGCACACACAAAAUUUCAAUGAUGGAACAAAUGGUAAGAGGACAGCAGUUUUCAGAUAAAGAAACAUAGUAGGAUGGAGAGAUCACUGGUAUCUGAGUGAUCAUAAAUUAUGAUGUUGAACCAAGCAAAUAAAGUGAAAUAAGAAUGAAAAUACUUUUGCCUGCCAAGAAAAUUGAUAGCACAUCCUCAUAAAGAGUAGAAGUCACAAAUUUUGUUCUCUUCUAAUAAGGGUCUAGAAAAUGAUUAUAUCAUAAGAAAACCAUAAAGGAUAAUUUCAUUUCAUGUUAUCAACAUGAAUCCUGACCUUUUAUUCAGUGAAUAUUGGUGGAGUGCCUUUUGGUGUAAGAGACUGAGGGACAUACAGAGAUGAACCAGACAUAGACUCUUUCCUCAUGGAGCUUCAAGGCUAAAAGCUAGAAGGGGAAACUGAACAGUCAUAAUUUUCAUUUUGGGGCAUAAGAUGAAACGCAAAAGGCCAAUUAAAAAGGCAAGAACACAGCACCAGAAACUAAAGAUUUGUACCCUUGAUUUCCCUGAUAAACUUUUAUAGUCUUCCCAUCAACAGGUUUUUUUGAAGACCCAAGGUUCCUAAUUGUUCAGGCACCUCAUUACCAAUCAGAGACACCUGCUCAGUGAAGAUCCAUAAUCAAAUCUCUUCAGACAUAUCAGUGACCCAGUAAUUCAUAUGCCCGAAUCUCAAGAAUGCCUUUCAAAGUAUGCACCUAUUUUGAAAUGUCAUCUUGUAGGAUACAUUUCACAUUGAAAUAUACUAGGAAAUAGAGCAGGAAUAGAAUCUGUUUCCUUUCAUUGCCGAUGGACAAUGGAUUUCUUUCUUCUUUUUUUUUUCUUAAAAAAAAAAACCUUUAUCAGGGGACUUCCUUGGCGGUCCACUGGUUAAGAUUCCGUGCUUCCACUGCAGGGGGCACUGGUUCGAUCCCUGGUCAGGAAACUAAGAUCCUGCAUGCCCUGCGGCAAAAACAAAACAAAACAAAAAGCCUUUAUCUUAAUUUUUUUUUUUUUUUGGCCGCGCCAUGCGGCUUGCGGGAUCUUAUUCCUUGACCAGAGAUUGAACCUGGGUCCCCUACAGUGGAAGCAAGGAGUCCUAACCAAUGGACUGCCAGAGAAUUCCCAACAAUGGAUUUCUUAUAACAGAAUCCUAGGCAAAUGUCAGUUUUCUGUUAGCUUCUCUCCUGCAGAGUAUGCCAGCCAAGACCACUUGCAAGCCCCUUUCUGCCUGUCCUGUCUCCUGAGACCACAAAGUGACUAUCGACACAUGUGGAUAGUUCAUAAUAGCUCCUUCUUCUAGCAUAGAAAACUUCUUUGAUUUUUAAGGAAACAGAAGAGAAAUGGUCUAGGAAUUGGCUAUAGAAAAAAAUCAAGUAUGAGUUUCUAUGGAAAUUUGUUCAUACGAAAUAGGUGAGAAGUUUUAUUUCUCAGGAAGGCUUUACACUAUUCAGUUUUUAGGGAACAUUUAACUUCAGCUGGGUACUUGAAGUUGGCUAUAUGCCAACUUGUUUGUAUUGCCCUGAAUACUAUUAGAUAUGGAAAAUGAAAUGGCACAUUCUACAUUGAAUGCCAUAUAGCUUGCACUUCUUUCUGCCUUCCCCUUUCCUCCAUUUAGUAAGUAUGGUGCAGUAUUUAUAAAAAUAGGUUUCAAAACUUCCUUGUAUUCAAGGGUCUAAUUCCUUCUCAGUCUACUUCUGAGGAUCAUGAAAAAGAAGUUUCCUCUGUUCCUGCCAACACUCCCCCCCAACACACGCAUUGUAAAGCUUAACUAGAGGGCCAGAUUCUUUGCAAAAUCUAGCAUCUCUAGAAAAAUGAAUAUCAAUUUAUAGACAGAAGUUAGGGAAUUAGCAAGAAGGCUAAAUUCUGAUACCCAUUCUGAGUCUUAGCACUGACCUUACUUCUAACAGGUUUAGUCUAAACUUCAAAUUCUCUUUUAUUUUCCUGGUAUUGCACAAUGAUGAAUAAGAAACAAUAAUCCAUAGGGACUAUGGAGAUUAGACCCCACAGAAAGACUACACAGAAGUGGUCAUACAUCUGCCACAUGGGCCCUCUCCUCCAGCUCAGACAGAUGUAAUCUGGAGUCUCAGAUAAUUCUUUUGGAGAAUGCCUCCAGUCUUUCCUGACUUCAAUGAUAUGGAAGAAAGUUUUUAUUCUUUUUUUUUUUUUUUUUUUUUUUGUGGUAUGCGGGCCUCUCACUGUUGUGGCCUCUCCCGUUGCGGAGCAAUAGGCUCAGCGGCCAUGGCUCACGGGCCCAGCCGCUCUGCGGCAUGUGGGAUCCUUCCAGACCGGGGCACAAACCCGUGUCCCCUGCAUCAGCAGGCGGACUCCCAACCACUGCGCCACCAGGGAAGCCCAGAAAGUUUUUAUUCUUAAAAUGAUUAGGGUCGGGACUUCCCUGGUGACACAGUGGAUAAGACUCUGUGCUCCCGAUGCACGGGGCUCGGGUUCGAUCCCUGGUCAGGGAACUGGAUCCCACAUGCAUGCCACAACUAAGAGUUCGCAUGCCACAGCUAAGGAGCAGGCGAGCCACAACUAAGGAGCCCAUGUGCUGCAACUAAGGAGCCUGCCUGACGCAACUAGGACCUGGCCGAACCAAAUAAAUAUUUAAAAAAAAUGAUUAGGGUCAUGUUCCUUUUUUGAUUUGUAAAAACAUUAAACAAAGGGAAAUCUAUCUAGUCACUCUUCUGCUUUCUGUAGUCAUUAUUUAUGAUUGAUGACACAAGCUUUUGGCAAGCACAGAUAGGGGAAAUUCAAGGUCAAAGAUAAUAUACUACCAUAAACAGGGACUCAUGCUUAUGGGCUAUGUUCAUGUGAUCAAGUUUCACUGGACUAAUCCUGCCUUUUUAUGACCUGUAUGGGGCCAGCAGAUAUUCUGAGAUAUGGCUCUGGCUUUGUUUCAAGUGCCUCUAUAGGUGAACUUUGAAAUUCUCCUAUGGCUUUAUGAAUUCUGCACUUAUGUUGUUCUUUGGGGGAGGGAGGUGGUAAAGGAGAUGCAGGAAUAAAGGGGAGACUUUGAUAUAAUGCAAUAACAAAUAGGGCUUAGGUGCCUCUCCAUAACUUGGCAUUCCAGGCCAAUACACUGGAGUUGUUUAGAAAAAAAUGUAGUAGUUCCCAGGGAAGGGAAAUACAAUUUGAUGAAUAUAUAUGGGGAAGACCCUUCCCGUUGAUGGCUAUGAUGUUGUUCCACUCAUCCUCUAGGCCCUGGCCUCAUAUUCUUACUCCAAAUUGACUGGCAGAAAAGUGGUCAUAAUUGUUCGAAUAUAACCACACCAUGCUUUGGAUAUUUUAGCUGCCUUUCCUUGGCUUGUGUCCCUCUUGAGGUGCAGUAAUCAUAAGGAUACUUACACCAGUUUCAUUUCCAAAAAGUAUCAGGCUGAGUAAAUCAUAGGUUUACACAGGUUCUAGCCAGAACUGGCAAAAACUUUUGACUCCCAAAGUUCUGCCGUAUCAGUGUACUAAAAACAGUUCAGUAAAAUGAGGCAGUAGAGGUAGUGAGAAGAUAAGUCAGGCCAAUAAGAAAAGAGGAAAUGGAAAAGACCUUAAAAAUCACACACACAGAGUUCUCCCCAGACUAAAUGUGGCAGGUGAUAGGAGUUGAUAGGGCACUUGCUACAAUUGCAGGUUUAUAAAGACAGAACUCUGGAGAAUAACUGCCAAAACCCCACCACCAUCACUACCACUACCAUCAAAAAAAGUAAAAAAGAAAGAAAGAAAACUUAGAUUUUAUCCUUUUAAAACUCCUUCAAUAAAACUAAGGCUACCAUUUUCUCUUCUAACUUUGUGCCUUUGUUGAUAAUAAAAAUAAUUCCAAGGGAUCAUCUACAACAACAACAAAUUCUCACUUGCUUUUCUUUGUGUCAGUGGUUGGGUUGAGAUGAGAAAGAUGUUGAUAGACCUGGCAGAGAAUUAAUUUAGUGAUUACUUGCAGAUUUCAAUAUUAUUUUCUCUUUCUUCACCAUAUACCAAAGUGAGCUCUACUGUAAGCAGAUAGUGUAGGGAGUCCCCAGAGAAAAGAGCCAGAUAUAGCUUUUUGAUAUAAGAGAAGCCAUUUUAGGCCAAAGCCAUCUUGUCAUCUAAGCCUGGCUACCAUGCUUGCCCUUGAAAAGGUCUCAGUAAUAAUGACCUUAAGGGAACAUAAGAACAAAUGACUGUUUAUCAGGCAAGAGCAGUAACAAUAGCAAAGAUAAUAAACCAGUUGCAGGAUUCCUUGAAAGCACUUUUUGUGGAAAGAAACCAACCUAUGCACAGUCUACAUAUUCAAAUAAUAAGCAGAGUCUAUGUGGCUGUAUUACUCAUACAUCAGACUAAUGGGAUGCAUCAAAAGUAACCAACUUCCAGAGACACAAAGGGGAAAACGACUUCAAACACUUACACUUAAAACUUAAAGGGCCUUCAUUUAUGAAUGGCCAAUGAUCUAGGCAAGUAAGAAAUGCUCCAUGGACUGACAAGUUUUUAGAAGAAUAAAAGAGCAGCUAUAAAUUAGUGAGAGUAGCUCUUUUACAUAGAAGUUCUUGGCUAAGAAUACCUAUUUUAGUAAAAAAAGACGAUAACUCAGGAGCUGCCCUGAGAAUCUCUUUCUAACUAUCCACAGAAAAGACAGAAAGCAAACCUGUGAUUCGAUUCUAAUCAGAAUAAGACGAAGAAAGGCUUUGCUUCCGGAUACUGGUUCAAGGUCACCCCCUUCUACCGUAAAUUUUAUCUUUCCCUAUGUCCACUCCACCUUAUUAAGCUGCUCAGGCUGAGCAAAGGAGAUGAGAAGCCUGUUUGUCUUGGAGGAACUGAUUACAUGGAGAAUUAUAUGUAUAAUAAUGGAGGGCUAUCAUUUUUAAGAGAAAGCAUGCUAAGGACAAACUCAAUUUUUUAAAUACCCACUUUCCAAUCUCUAAAUCAUCUAUGCCUUCCAGGCAAACAUGAAUGGACCAAGCUACUACAAUAUAAGAAACAGGAGGAUUGGUUCAAGAUGGCGGAGUAGAAAGACGUCACUCCCUCUUGUGAGAGCACUGGAAUCACAACUAACUGCUGAACAAUCAUCGACUGGAAGACACUGGAACUCACCAAAAAAGAUACCUCACAUCCAAAGACAAAAGAGAAGCCACAAUGAGAUGGUUUUUCUGCUGAGCUACCACAAUGUAGUGUGUUUCUAGACCUAACUCCACAUGAAGGACAGGCCUGGAUUAAACAAGAAUGGCUACUUAUUUUACAGCUGGAAAACUGAGCAUGUCUGGUGAGGAAGGCAAAAAGAAGAAUCAACAGCAGAGGCAAACUGGAACAAGGAGAGGAACGGACUUAAGAAUCAGAGACUCUUAAGAGUAUGGUAUAAAUUGUUACCUUUAGAGAAGUCAUUUAAUUUUAUUCACAUUCAGUCUAGAACAUUUAUUUUUCUCAAUUCAAAAUUGAGAUUAUAAUCAAAAGGAAAACUGGACUGAGGUCACUUAAAAUAAAAAAUUCUAUUUCCUACUGGGCUAAGUACAAACUUGUUAGCUUGGCCUUCAAGGUAUUUGACAAAUAUGGCCCUGGUCUCCUUUUCAACUUUAAUCCACUAUUUCCCUAUGUAUACUGUUUAAGAUAACAGUAAACUAUUAGCAAACUAUUGCACAGAACUCUCUUAACCAGUUUAACUGAUCACACAUUAGCUAGGCUAUUCUCCAGUAUCAUGGGAGCAACACUUCUGCUCUCCCUCUCAGUGAAAUUAUGUGCUUAUUGAGGGUAUCAGUUGUGUUUAUUCACAAAACAAUUUAUGCCAAUUGUGUUUAUUAUUCUAAAUAUAUAACUUAAUAAAGUAUUACAUAAAGCAAUGAAGUAUAAAUGAGAAGAGGAAAACAACAGCAGCAGCUAAUAUUAACUGAGUACUUACUACCUGCCAGGCACUGUUCUAAGUGUUUUAUGUGAAUUAACUCAUAUAAUCUUCAUAAGAACCUUGGGAACUAGAUACUAUUAUUGUCCCUAUUUCACAAAGGAGGAGACUGAACAACAUGCCCAAGGUCUAUACAACUCAAAAUUGGCAAAACAAUUUGGCUCCAGAGCUUUAACUACAAUGCUAUACAAGUUGAAAGCUUAGGAAAGACUAGAUAAAGAUACACAUAACUAUGCUCCACUCGACCUUGUAUGUGAAAGUAGCCACAGAUAAUACAUGAACAAGUGAGCAAGGCUGUGUUCCAAUAAAACUUUAUUUACAGAAACAGGCAGCAGGCUAGGACAAGAUUUAGCCCUCACACUGUAGUUUGGAGAUCCCUGAGACCCACACUCCAAGAAAAGGCUUAUGUCAAAAGAAUGGCAAAAAGAUGUUUUAAGUUUUAAGUUAAAAUAAAAUGUUUAAGAUCUACAGGUAA